GCUUCCAUAUUUAUGGAGAAAGGGAAACUAACUACCCGCUGAUGGUCAGAAGUACCAUCUUUGUGGAGCUGGGAGACAGGAGCCUUGUAUCUCUAACUAAAGCGCCUGGAAAAGGUGAGGUUGAGCCAACUGGCAGAAGAGACAUAGUAAGGAAGACUAUCUUUCAUCAAGCCAAACCUAGAUGCCUAGUGACUCAUUCACACUAUCCUGCAUCAUUACUCCUAUCCCCAACACUCCUAUCCUCAUCACUCCUAUCCUCAACACUCCUAUCCUCAACACUCCUAUCCUCAUCACUCCUAUCCUCAACACUCCUAUCCUCAACACUCCUAUCCUCAUCACUGCUAUCCUCAACACUCCUAUCCUCAACACUCCUAUCCUCAACACUGCUAUCCUCAUCACUGCUAUCCUCAUCACUGCUAUCCUCAACACUCCUAUUCUCAUCACUCCUAUCCUCAUCACUGCUAUCCUCAACACUCCUAUUCUCAACACUCCUAUCCUCAUCACUGCUAUCCUCAACACUCCUAUUCUCAACACUCCUAUCCUCAACACUCCUAUUCUCAACACUCCUAUCCUCAACACUCCUAUCCUCAUCACUGCUAUCCUCAACACUCCUAUUCUCAACACUCCUAUCCUCAUCACUGCUAUCCUCAACACUCCUAUUCUCAACACUGCUAUCCUCAACACUCCUAUCCUCAACACUCCUAUCCUCAACACUCCUAUCCUCAACACUCCUAUUCUCAACACUCCUAUUCUCAACACUCCUAUUCUCAACACUCCUAUCCUCAUCACUGCUAUCCUCAACACUCCUAUUCUCAACACUCCUAUCCUCAACACUCCUAUUCUCAACACUCCUAUCCUCAACACUCCUAUCCUCAUCACUCCUAUCCUCAACACUCCUAUCCUCAACACUCCUAUCCUCAACACUCCUAUCCUCAACACUGCUAUCCUCAUCACUCCUAUCCUCAUCACUGCUAUCCUCAUCACUGCUAUCCUCAUCACUCCUAUCCUCAACACUCCUAUCCUCAUCACUGCUAUCCUCAACACUCCUAUCCUCAUCACUCCUAUCCUCAUCACUCCUAUCCUCAUCACUGCUAUCCUCAUCAUUCCUAUCCUCAACACUCCUAUCCUCAUCACUCCUAUCCUCAUUUCUGCUAUCCCCAUCAUUCCUAUCCUCAACACUCCUAUCCUCAUCAAUCCUAUCCUCAUUUCUGCUAUCCUCAUCACUCCUAUCCCCAACACUCCUAUCCUCAUCACUCCGAUUCAACUUUAAUGGAAUGUGGCAGCUUCAGCAGCAGCAGUACAGGAAAAAUCUUCUGAUCAGGAUUCAAUGACUCCUCUCUUCCUGAAUCUGCAUUUUAUCCUUAAAUCCCCCUUUCCCCACUCAGUGAAGGCUUCAGUUUAGGCGAGAAGAGAAUCAGUCAGCUGCACACUUUAGUAAACAACAACCAAAUUGUUUAUCGUUGAUCAAUGCUACUUACUCCUCUGU
rnacentral:lncRNA from 1 species